rnacentral:lncRNA from 1 species
GUCCAAUUGCCCACUGACCUCUCACCUCACUCGGGAUGUGGUUUGUUGGGCACUUACAGCUUUUCCCUCUCGGCUCUCCAUCCGCACCCUUCAGUUGAAGGUCUUUUGCUGACAGGAUAGAGUUCCCCAAAGGACAAGGGCAGAGCUAGUGAGUCAUUUCAGCACCCCAAUUAGACUCUCUCCUCUGCCCAGAGACCACACGGCGUCUUAAUCAGCUGCUUGGAAGGUGUACCUGGCAGCUCACGGUUUACAUGAAGGACCUGGCCUCACCAAGAAGCUGAGCCCUCAGGAAGACAACAGCCUUUGGGUACUUCCUGUAGCUAAUGCUGAGCAGAGGAAGGAGAGUCCCCCCUCCAGACUCACCCAUCCAAGGAGCUGGUUUCAGGAAACUCAAGAAAUCAUAUGCUGCAGAAGGUUUGGAAAAGGUUGCCCAGGUUUUACAUGAAGAAAGGGACUCUAUCUGUGUGAUUCACCACUGAGUUCCCAGUACGCUGCAUGCUGCAGGCAUAUAGAAGCUCAGAUUCAUAGCUGAUAAAUCUUAAAGAGAGGAAAACACAGUCACAGGGAGUUCCCUUGCAUUGCCUGAAAUUCCACAGCAAGUCAGCGACAAAGCUGGGAGGAGACUCUGUCCUUCCAACUCACAGGCCAGUUCUCUGCGGGAAGCCGUUGUCUGUCUCCUCUUAGGCUCCUUUGGACGCCUCUGGGUGUCAGUUCUCCCAGGGGAAGCAGCGGCUGGGGUUGCGUCUUGAAGCUCGAACUGGCUUUGAGACUGUGCCUGAGACAGGGUGGGCAGGACUCAAAGGUCUGAAAAAGCUGGGAAGGGCCUGAUUUUGGUAAAAUUGGGCCUUCCUGUAGCAACUGGCAGGGGGAGUGACUUGGUCCUCGGGGCAGGAGUUCCCGUGGCCCAGAAUUGCCCAGCAGUCAAAUGUUAGGACACCGGUGUCUGGAGGAGCUCCUGGAAAGGGUCUUCCCGCAGCCUGGCCCUGUGGAGUUGAGGGAGGUUUGGGGAUCUCUCCUCCAGGACAGGCUCCAGAGAGCCCGCAGCAAAAGGGACAGUGUGCCUGCCCCGUGCCUCCCCUGUAGGGCUCUGCUCUGUUUCUUAAGGGGAAGGCUUCUAGCUAUAGUUUUGUGAGCUCCGUUCAGAAAGCUGCCUUCCCCAUGGACAACCCUGACUGGAUCAGAAUGUGAGCAGGAGGGAAACUGACUUUCUAAGAGUCUGUGCUUGGACUGGCCAGCCUUUGUUUCAAGGUCCUGAGAGCCAUGGGACUGAGAGUGUAGGACUGAAGCAGACUUUUGAACACCUACGUUUGCUGUGCCUCAGUUUCCCCACCAGGAGCCUGUUGUCCAGGGGUUUGGAAAGCCGAUCCAGGAAAACACCUGCGACUGUAGGCAGCUCUGGUCCUUCCGAGGCCCUGCUCAUCAGACUUCCCCAGGGUCAGACAUCCUUCCGCACAGCUCUUGUUCAGUCUGUGGCCCAAACAGCCUAGGGCAUGAUGGAGGCCCGGAACAAUGGUGGUUUUGCUUACACAGCGUGCUUGGCCGCUGGCUGGACUCACGCAAUGCUCACGGAACCGGUGUGGGCUGCCACAGCUUCCCUGUGGGACAUUUAGCUCCCUCACUUCAAGUCCAUCAAAGGACUUGUUAUCCUGGUCCCCUUUCUGUCCGUUGUUCCUCUCCCCUUGGGGCUGUCCUCUCACCCUCUCCUGCCAUCCCUCCUCUUUCCAAGCUCUUGCCCCACAGAACUGCAAGGACUCUGAGACCUGGGACGUCUCACGGAGCCGGCUUUUGUCAGGCCAGUCUCCAUCGCUCUGGGGAGUCUGAAGGCUUUUUCUUUUAAAGAUAAGUUGGGGAGAGGGUUAGAAGAGUGCUGAGAAGUGACGCCUGUUUCUUCUUUCUUUUCCUUUCCCCCUCUGGGGCUCAGAGACCAGGGUUUUUUUCUUUUUUACAGUACAAUUUGGCAGGCCCCAUCUUUUUCUGACAGAAAAAAAAUAACAGGCAUAUUUUGGGCGAUUACUCAACUGGGGUCCUUUGUGACAGGAUAUGCAGCUGCGUGACUAAUGGAGCUGGCUUUCUCCUGGCUUCCUUCCCCUUUCAGAGUUCUUGUUUACUGUGCUAUACCAAAAAAAAAAAAAAAUGCCAUAAGCUACAGAUUUUUAUUAAAAAAAUUGCCUUGAGAGAUACUCAAAGGCAAUAAAUCCUGGGAUACUCCAUUGCCAGGGCCGUGAGUCCACACCCUCUUCCACUUUUUCUUUUCAAAUGCUCAAGCCCUUGACUCAUGACAUGUGAAUCUUCUUCUCCCACCCCCACAUCCCUGUUUUCUUCUGAACAUAUGUCCAACAGAUCGUGUGUGUGAGUGUGAGUGUGUGUGUGUGCGUGCGCGCGUGCACGUGGUGGGGGAAGGGAGCAAGAUGGGAACCAUAUUUUUAGUGCUUAACUCAGCAAUUGCUAAAGGAAGGAAUAAUGACUUCCAGGGGCCUCAGGGCCUUUUUUUUCCCAAGGCCUAUGCAUUUCCAUAAUCUACGGCAAUUUUGUGGUGUAAGCAAAAGUUAUUACAAAACAUGGAACUAGCUUAACGAGGAAGGGUAUGUUCUAAACGGGGGAACUGUCUCUUUACAGAAGAAAUCCACGUUUGGAGGGCUUUGGAAUUCAGAAUCCUCAGGCUUCCCAUAGAACUUUUGGAAGAGACUUUCGCUAGCUUGUAGCGUUCAACAGCUGGAGCUGGCCUUUUAACUUUCCUAGAGAUCAACAAGCUUUUCGUUUCAAAAGGUAUAUGGCCUGUGGAUGGGAAAAAUUGACUAGCGACUUAGCUUUGAUAGAGACAGAUUGGUGUAGAUGAGGCACAAGAUUUGUGGCCAGGUGAUGGGUUGGAGCCUUGAUUGUGAAAUGGAGCAAGUCAUUUAAGAUCUGUAGGUCUCUGAUGUUAAGACAAGGAUAGCAUCUCCUCCUGCCUAGGUUGCUGGCAAGAAAAGUGAGACGAUAGCAGUCCAAGGCGUGGGGGGAGCUACAAAGAAGUAUGCAGUGAUCACUUCUAAUGCUCCUUCAUCCAAAGGGUGGGCUCAAGCAAGCAUUCAACAGAUGAGAGGGGCUUGUUCCAUGAGAACUAUGAUGCCAACUGAUGUGCAGGGGCGAGGGUACUCAUACGGUGACCCAGGAUGCAAUAUUGCAGGGGUGUUUUUGAGGCUGAUCUGGCCUCCAACUUUGCCCACACCCUAGUCAUCUUCCACGCAGGUCUCAGAAUCAGAACUUCGAUCAUGUUCCUUUCAGGAAACUGUCUCAUCGAACCCAGACAAAAGGCUCCGCUAACCUCAUUGUGCCUGCCUUUUCUUCUGUUAUGAAUUCAUUUUUUGGCGUGUACUCUGCCCUAGAGAGGUGAAUACCAGACACAGUCUACUCUGGCCCCUGGCCCAACAUUUUUACUGGAUGUUGGUUGGAGGCCCCCCCUCCUCCUUUACCUUCCGUCGGUUCCUCUUCCUGCUCCUCUCUGUUAAACCUUGCUCAUUUGUCAUUUCUUUUAAGAUUCCAUCUACAACUUAGCUCCUCCUAGAGUCUCCAUGACCAAGGACUCCUUGAGUGGACACUCCAAACCCUCCAGUAAACCAUAGCAACUAUCUUUUUUACUCCUCAUAGCUCAAGUCUAAUGUCCUCGGCAAGGGAAGUUGACUUGAUUUUGCCAGAGGGUAAACUGAGGCACCAGUCAGGGAACUAACUGGCCAGGGAUUACACAGCAAGUCCGCGACACAGACAGGAAUAGAAACCCCACAUCCUGAUUCCAUUUCGCCUGGAGUUUAAAGAGGCACCUUAGCUUGGAUAUCCCAGAAUAGCUUCUCCCAGGCCGACCAGCUGUGAAGUGAUGUGUUGCAAGGGUUAUUUUUUGCCUUGGCUUAAUGCUUAAAAAAACACCCCAAACUCCUAAAAUCGGCUAAGAAAAUCCGUUUCUCACAAUGCCCUCAGCUUGCGGAGUUUAAACCCAGUAUAUUACAUCAUGAACGCCUCCUGGCCUCCCUCUCACUCACAGUGACGCUCAGGUAUCUGAGUUAAGCUCAGAAAUCAUAGUUUAUUGAAGGAAACAGAUCAUUAAGUCACUCCACUGGACUGAAGCCGUCGACAUUGCUUAUUUGGAGAAGCUGAGCGUUGAAUAAUGCUCCCUUGAUUCAUGUGGACUGGACUAGCAGGAGCUGUUCAGCGAAGGGUGUGGCCAUCAGAUGGCAUGAGGCCCAUGGAGGCUGCUAGGAAGAGGGGAAGUGACAGUGGUGUGCUGGAGCUGGCUUGCACUGGCUUGUGAAGGCUGAUGGUUAAAUUUUCAGGAAUUUUGUGAUCCAGUCGGUAAACACAGCCAUUAUGAAAAAUUAAAUUGCAUAAACUUGCAAUUAAAUAAAUUAUAUUAACAACAAAGGUAUUAAAUACUAAAAAAAGAUCACAUUGUAAUCAUUCUGCUACAGUUUACUAUUAUCUAUGCUCUUGAUUUGUACGCCCAUUAUGUCUCUACGGUGGGAAUACCACACAGUGGGACGCUGCUGUGAACCUCUUCCCAAUUCCACACUCAGUAAUUGCACGUCAGGUAGGUUGAAAUCAGCCGUGGUAAGAGUAUUUACACCACAGAAGUUGGCAAACUCUACGAUUCAGGGUUUGAUUUAUUGUUUUGUUGCUUGUCUAGACUUAAGAAAGUGGUAGAGAACAUGUUAAUCAAGUAGAUUAAACAUAAACGUGUGCCAUAUCUUUUGCAACGACAUUGUGAAUAACACAGAGUCAAGGAACUAUUCUUCCAGGAUUCAAAAACGGUUAUCCAAUUCAGCAAAGAAGUCGCUCCUGUCAUUGAAAAAUGAAGUUCUGAAAUAGGUAUUUGUUGUUUUACUUUUUCUUACUUAUUAUUGUAAAUGCAAUAAUCAACCAACACUUAUGUCAAUUCUACACUUGGAAAGCUGAUUAUCAAACAUUUACCAGCACACUGGAGUGUAUAUGGACUACCUCCUUGGGGUCCCAGAGAAAGAACAUUGUAGUAUAGGUAGAACUCACCAGUAAGGAGCAUGUCGGGGGGACAGCCAUGGAAUAGGAGAUACUAAGCGCUGGGAAGACAGCAGCACAGAUGAUACAAUUUAGGGCCAGCAGCCAGAGACCAGCCCAUCAGGAUGGGCAUGUGGAAAAUAAACCAGAUAGGCUAAAUUGUACUACUGUAUCAACAAAGUUAGAUAGUGAAAAAAAAGCCAUGAUGACUUCUAAAUUCAAGGUGAGGAUUAAUAUCGUAUAUUCACAGCGCCUUACAGUUCUACAGCCUUCUUACGCAUGAGCUCAUAUGACCAUCAGAAAGAACUGUGGGGUAAAUGGGUAAAUUACCUAUCACCAUCAUACCCAUUUACAAAUGGGAAACUGAGGCAAUGGGUGGUUAACUAGUUUGCCCAAGAUUACUCUUUCUACAUAAAUGGCCAAGUUCGGUCUUGAUGGAGAAACAGAAAUGGCACAGACGUUUGGGGCAGUCACACCUGGGUUAAAAACCUAAGCUUGUCAUUUAUAUAACUUCGGUACGGUAACUUUACCUUUUUAAGCCUUGGGUUUUUGUUUUUUACUUUUUAUUGAGAUUAUGAUAGUUUACAACCUUGUGAAAUUUCAGUUGUACACUUUUAUUUGUCAGUCAUAUUAUAGGUGCACCACUUCACCCUUUGUGCCCACCCCCUAUGCCCCUUUUCCCCCGGUAACCACUAAUCUGUUCUCUUUGUCCACGUGUUUAACUUCCACAUAUGAGUGGAGUCAUACAGAGAUUGUCUUUCUCUAUCUCGCUUAUUUCACUUAACAUAAUACUUGGGGUUUUUUUUAAACCUAGAGAAUGGGGAUGAUAAUGCCUAGGUCACAAGUUUGUGGUGAGGGUUGGUUUAAAUGAGAUAAUAGGUGGCAAGGACCUGGUCCUCAGGAGGCCGUCGUAAAUGUUCAUUUCAAGGGAGGGAGAAACCAUGAUGUUUUAAAAUUAUUUACAUUUGAUUUUGAAAUGCAGAAUAAAACUCUUUUGACUAACAUAUUUACUUUUCUACUUAUAUUUUUUAGGUUUGGGUAAAAUUACUCUGCGUGGUUUUAGGCCAAACCAAUCUGAGGAGGUGGGGGCAGGGCCAGGGAGGAGGCAGAGGAGGCCCAGAAGAGAGCUAGCCUGGGACUCAGGUUUCACAAAGGCCUCUUUGCUCACUGGUAAUGGAGAGAAUCAAUACACGUUGUCACGUUCAGCAACACACAGCACCAUUCUUAGCCCCAACAGCUAGAGCUCCAGGUGGACUUCCCUUUCUAGACCUGGCCUCUAUGUCACCACCCGCAGAAAUGAGGAGGCCCAGCCUCUGACCCCUCUAUCCCCUAAAACACUCCCAGCCUCAGCACCACACUCUGCCUUGGGGAGGACUAUCUCCCAGGCAGCAGAGGCCUCGGCCAUUCCUCAUCUCCCUGGCCAGAGAGGCAGCCCUCACCCACCAGGACUCCUCCUCUUUCCUCCUGGAUUUACCUUUCUUCUUAGCACUCAUCAUCCUGUGCCAUACCAUGUAAUUUACUAGACUGGGAGCUCCAUGAGGGCAUUUGUUUAUUUCAUCUGGGACCUAGAACAGUGCCGGGGAACACAGAAGGUGCUCAGUAAGUAGUUACUCAAAGAAGAGGGUGUCGUCACCCCACUCCCGUUUUUUUCCUAUUUCAAAUAACAAUCCAUUUUUUGAUCAACUUCACUGGACUCAGAUUUGGCUUAUGUCUCACGAGGGUAAACCAUGGUGGUGAAGGGUGUCGUCAAAGGCCUGAGGCAGAGCUCCAUGAAGGCAUCCCUGAAGCUGGUCCUCUGACCAGCCCUCAGACACUGAACGAGCAAUCCAGCUCAGUGGUUAAGAAGAUGCUGGUUCAAAUCCAGCCCCUACCACUGAUUAGCUAUGCAACCUUAGGCAACUUAUUUCUUCUCUCUGAGCCUCGUUUUUCUUAUCUGUAAAAUGUGGGUAAAAAUAUCCAUAGGUGGUGGCAUGGAUUAAUGAGAAAAAGCAUGGUGAGUGCUUAGCACACAGCCUGGCAUGGGGAAAGGGAGCCAGUAUUCGUCGCACAGUGAAGGUGGUGGAGGCGCAGGAGGGGGAUUUGGGCAGCGUGGAAGAGCAAUUCUAGGACAGCUGGAAAAGCCACACGUGCUGAAGACCUUGGCUUCUGUAGACACAGAUGACACCUGAUCAGCACAGCAUGGGGAACUGCAAAGGGGCUCUGGAGCAGUGACACUGCCUCAGGAGGGCCUGGUGAAGCUUUGGGGCUGUCACCAUCGCGGCCUAGCUGGACCCAGAGGCUGUUGUAGUGACUUUGUGACUUCGUGUAACUUCAUGUAUGGUGUCUAACACAGCUUUCUCUCCUGGGCAAAAUAAUGGCAAACGUGCCUCAACAUGUAGGGAGGGUACCACGGCUGAAGCCACAGCUGAGAAUCAAGGACACAGGAGUCACGAGAUGCACAGAGGUGAGGACUACAGGGUUUAGAACAAUCGGGAGGACUCCUGGGAGGAGCCAUAGAACAAAGAGAGAGGGCGGCCUCAUUUUCCUCCCACGAGACAGUCAUGGUUUCAUUAUGGGAGGUGAGUGUCCAGGGGGCGUUGGAGGGAAGGGACAUGGUGAAGAGGCAGGAGGAGAGACAUCAAGGACAGGAAGCGGCAUGUAUGACAGCGUCAAGUCCGACGUGAAGAGGCCUGGGAGGGGAAGCAGGGCAAGUAGGGGUACCCAGGGAGCCACAGUCUAUCCGGCUUCGGGCAGGCCUGCAUAUAUCAAUCGCUGGCUGCACAGGCUGCCCCCUGAACUGGUCCCCCCGGGCCGGCCCAAUUUAGGCUCAAAGCUCCGCGUUCUGCUUGGUAUUUUAAAUGCUGUGGGUGCUCAAGACAGUAUAGGAUAUAUGAAGACCGGCCUGGAACAGGAGCCAGGAGAUUUAGUUUGAGGUGCCCGAAAUGUCGUUUUCUAACUUCGAUCUUGAGCCUCAGUUUCCUUGUCUGUGACACAGGGAGGAGCAUGCCUGGCUCCUUCACCGGGUCACUGCCAAGGCUGGAUGAGAUAGAGCAUUGAAAGGACGUGGUCAAUCUCUCAGGCCUGUCUGCCAUUACCCCCUGGGGCCUUUGGCUGUGGGUGCUCCGCGGACCACUCACUUCAGCAAGCCCACGGGGUAACGUGGCCCCUGGAGAGCAGCAGAGCUCUUCUGGUUGAUUCCGACCUCCUGCCAGCCUGCCUGCCUGUGGAGACGCGGCCCCUGGAAGCUGGGCAGAGAGCCUUGUCAGCCAGUCAGUGCAACUCAGGCGCUAAGCCAUGGCUGGACGUCCGCAAAGCACUUGGGGCUUUUUGCUUGAAAGCCACUGGAGAGAGCCAAAGCAUAUCUUCCCUCCUGUAUUCCUCAGCAGGGGGCUUCUGCCUCGCCCCAGAAGCACCUGUGCGGGUAUAGACACGCACACCUCCUGGACACUGAGUCUACCCCUGAUAGUGUGUGACACAGUGCAAAUUCCACUCUCCUGCAGCUACCUCUUCAACUACAGGCAUUCCAUGUAGCCUUAAUCUCCCCGGGCCUCAGUUUCCAGAGCUGCAAAUAGGAGCCAGAGAUGCUGUAAAUCCCCUACCUGCUGGGAAAUCUUCUGAAAGCUAUUAUGGAUAGUUUUAGAUUCUCUGGGACCCCAUGGGCCAGUCUGCAUUCCCAGACCAAAGCAGCCAUUCCCUCAUUCCAGCUCAGAGCGUUUGGUGUCCCCAGUUGUCACCCACUGUAUGGCUCUAGAGACAGCCUGCCAGGACAGGGUUCCAGCUUCCACUUACUAGCUGUGUGACUCUGGGCAAGUCACUUUAACCUCUCUGUGCCUAUAUUUUCUCAUCUCUGAAAGGAGGAAUUGGUUGUACUUAGCUCCUAGGUUGGUACAUAUGUAGUAUGAGCUCAUAUAUUUGAGUUGUGAGUUAAUGUCUGAGCUCAUACUGUAUACGUAAAGUCCUUAAACCAGUGCCUGGCACAUAGUAAGACUAAUUAUAAGUGGUAAAUAAUAAUAAUAAGUAUUAUUAUCCAUUUUCCACCCCAGCUAUUAUGCUGGCCCAUUUUCCUGACUUUCUCAGCAGACCCUCAGGGCCUGGCCCUAUCUGCUCCAGGUUUGCUGCUACCAUGAACCCCCAAAGACUCACGGAAGCAGCCGGUGGAAGAGAGGUUGUGCAAAGCGGGUUGGAAUGGAGGAUUGAGAAGAGGAUGUGACUGGGCUCAAGGGCAGGCGGGGGAGAAAAUAAACGCACAGGAACCAGGAUGAGGGAACAAUGCUCGGCCAGCCUCUCGGAGGCCCAUUAGCCCAAUGCGGAGCAGAGUGUCUGUGGAAUUGCUCCCGUAUCUGGGCUUCCCCAGCACCUACCUUAAUCUGCCUUUUAGUAACGUGUGUACCACAGUGGUAUAGAAUGAAUCCAGCUUUCCAGAUAUUGAGUUCACUGAGGGCGAGGCCUCAUCUUUGCAUUCCUUGUGUGGAGUGGGAACUCGAUAAAUGGCUCCUGAAUUGAACUGCAUUUGGAAGUUAGUGUAUUAACCAAACACCUCCUCCCUUGACUUAAAAUAGAAGGUUAAGAACGACUGUGGCCUCUUUGCCCCAACCCCAGACCUCUUCUUAGCACUUCUGUUUCUGUGCUGGGCCCAUGAGGGAAUCAGGAACCCCUAGCAAGCUGUGAGAAUGCGAAUGCUGUCCCAUGUCCAUUUGCCUAGACAUGGCGCCACUUUCCUGUCGUUUCUAACCCCUUCCCUGGCACUAUGUUGGAUCUGUGCCAGAUAAACCCAAGAGACUUGAAAUCUCCUCAAAUUAUAUCUCAGGAAAGCAAGGCCUCAACCCAGAUGUGUUUAGAUGCCCCAAACUCCCUCUAGAUAUUACUACCCCCAGUUCUCAAGAUACGGUCUCAAGGAAGCGGGGCAGGAAAGGCCUGGCUUAUCUCCCUCUCCUCUGCUUCUCCUCCCAGCCUGCAGGAGCUUUCUGCUGCCCCUUCCCACCUGGAGGAACUUCCCUCAGCUACCAACUAUAUCUUCCGCACUGUGACUUACAGUCAGGUCCCGUUAUCAGACUUCCAGGCUUGCAUAUGUAAGAGGAAAAUUUUUAAAUUUAGGAAUCCUCUUUCCACAAAGCCUCCAGCAACCCCACGUCAGCUUGGACGUUCAAGCUGAGCAGUGGCCCAUGGAAGCCAUAGCAUGAGAUGACUCACACAGAAAGGAAAAUACAAUGGUUUAUGAUGCUCAUUGGUGUCAUCCCAGCAUACUUAUGAAAGAAAACAUAUAUCAUGAUGUUAUUUCUGUAUAGUUUGCCAUAUCAUUUUAUACUUAUGUGUAUACAUUUAAAAUAAGUGGGAAGAGGGUACAGCAAAUAAAAGUGGGCUUUCCUGAGUGGUGGGAAUAGAUGUGAAUUUCGCCUCUUUCCUUUGGCUCAAGCAUAUUUUCUGAGUCCCUAUAAUCAAUAUAUGUUACCUUAGAGUAAAAAUAAAGAGACAAAAUUGAUGACUUCUAAUAUUUUAUAUGAAAUUUUAUAUAAAACAUACAAAUAUAUAUUUCAUAAAUAUAUAAGAAUAUAUAUGAGUAAGUGCAUAUCUUAUAUGUAAAGAAUUCUAUAUACCUCUUCAUUUAUAUAAUUAUAUGUUAUAUGACAUAAUAUGUAAUAUACAAUAUAAUGUAUACUGUACAUUAGUAUAUAGGUGACUAUUCAUAGAGCAGCAUUGGAAGGCAAUACAACAAAAUACUAUCAAUAGAUUUCCAGUUGUGUUUUUUGUAUUUUCCAAGUUUUUUGCAUUGAGCUUUUAUUAUUUUUGUAAUUAGGAGGAAAAAACUGCGUGUGUUUCACUUUGGUGAAGAUGAAAGUCUUCAAGUCAUUAUCUUUGUCUGCCCAGCCCAGGGCGUCUGCUUUUCUUAGCCUGAAAACAGAUGAAGAUUUGUUGCCAGCAAUGGCUCAUCCAAAAAUCUGACAUUUGCCCUGGACCUCUCCUCCUGCCUCCUUCCUCAUACUGGCUCACUAGUAAGCCCCCAGGCACUGAGCAACCCAGGACAAGAGGUCUGUCCAGUUAUCAUGGGUGCUUCUCCGACAGUCCAGGCUAGCUUUCCUCAGCAGGGACUUUCAUUUUGCCAACAGGGCUGGACUGGAAAGAGGCUGGAUCAAGGGUUUGGACUGUGUCUCCACAGGCUACCAUCUUGGGAGGGCCAGUGGCAGAUGCCAGGAGCUGGCUGGUGUCAGGGUACAAUCUGGUAGCCACCGAAGAGACCCUCGUCCUUGGAGGGUCUGUGAGCCCACAGACACCUGUUUGGCUUGACUCGCCUUGGCUGGGAGCAUUUCCGGCAGAGAUGAGUGCGAAAUGGAUGGGUGGUCGAGAGCUGAGACUGAGAGGGAAGAAAGGGUCUGCAGUGUUGAAAUGAGAUGUUUGUGAGCCCCUAUCUACAAACAGGCAAGUGCGGGCCUUAGACAAUGCUGCUGGCAAACUUGGAUCGAGUUUCAUUGUUUCCUGAAGCACUCCAGUGGAAGAGAAGGGUGGAACAGACUUGCUAGAGGUGCUCUCCACGUGAAAGGGAGGAUUAGAAGGAGCAAAUAGCCAGGAGGGCAAGGUGGACUCUGCGAUGACAGAGAGGAUGUGAGGGGUCAGGAUGUGAGCGGGAAAGCCAUUGCUGGGGAUUGCUGGGCACUAUGGUAGCAGUUCCUGGGUCCUUUCCGUGCCUGUGCUCCUGGCCUACUGCCCCCUACACGGAUUCAUGAGACCAAGAAGCAAAAGUGAGGGAAGAAGUGCUUUUCAGCAGAAGCACCCCAGAAACAAAGACAUUCCCACCAGUAGAGCUGCAGCACGGGGGACACUUGCCUCUCCCCCUGCCUCAUAACCAUGACUUUCUCACUCAAAGACUGUCCAUCUGUCCAGCCAUUCCGCCAAGCCCUGGAGCCCCAUGCUGAGUCCCUUUGGAAGAGUCCCAGCUCCUGGGGCGACCUCGGCAACAGCAGGGCCCACGGACUGCUCGGAUCCCAAACUUCCCAUCACAGGCAUGGGUCGGCCUGGCCCAUGGAAGUUAAAAUAACACGCUGGCUGUUUAUGAGCAAGAGUCCUCAAUAAAGUCAUUGGAUGGUUCCCUCGGCAGCGUGUCUAAUCUUCUCUGGCUGCCUUUCUGGGCCUGCAGCUCCUGAUCUAUUUUGGUCUCUCUCUUCUUUGACUCAUUCUGGGACUUCUGUGCCAUAAAUCCGAGCCCCCUCCAGGGCCUGGUCCCACCAGCAGGCAGACAAUUCAGAAUUAGCUGUGGUCAUGGUUGUCCAAACUGACAGUCAGGGAAACUGAGGCACAGCAGGCUACAGGGCUUUGUCCCACCUCCCACAGUGACCCAGCAGCACAGCUGCCAGCAAGGCCCAGGGUUCUGGCUGAGACUUUAAUACUGGAGCUUGCAGGGAAGGCUGGGGGCCAUGUGAACUGUUAUAAAGCUCUCAUUGGGCCAUACUUGGCCACAAAUCUCAGGACUGUGUGGCAAAUAGGAUUGCAGUGGGGGUGAUGUGUGUGUGUGUGUGUGUGUGUGUGUGUGUGUGUGUGUGUGUGUCAGUCACAGGCUUGAUUAUGGUGUUUGAAAUCUUCCCCAUGCCUGGAAUUUGACAAGCACAGAAUAGAGAAAGACCAGAAAACUCAAAAUAAUGGCAGCCAGAGAACAAAGAGCCUUCCCAAAGGCAUGGUUCAAGCUGUGGGCAAAAUGUCUUCCUGUUUCUCAUGUGAGGCCCCUGCCCCCAGGCCCAAGGGGCUGGCUGGGCUGGUUUGGCCUGUCCAAGGUCAUGACUGAACUCUGAUUCCUGCUGCUGCCCCAGGCCUCCCUGGGUGCCUGGCCUACGUGCUCUGGAGACUGGAGUGGAGGGUGGGGGAGGCAGGGAGGCUGUUAGGGUUUGAGAUACUUUCUAGGUGCCUCGGGGGACCUACAUAUUUCCUAUGUAAAGUUCAGUCUGUUUGCAAUUAGGCCUCUCUUCUUUGCUUGUUUCCGGAGAGAUUAAAAAUAGCGAAAUCAGCUUGAUCUGGGACUCUCUGAGAUCAACAAGGCCACUGUUUCCAACAGUAUGAAAAUACCAAGCAGUCCCACCCACAUUCAUGGGUCACACUGCGUGGCAGGCCUGGUAGGCUUUCUGUAAUGAAGGAACUUUAAGUUGCAUGAAUUCUCAACAGAUAAGACUCUGUCUUUUGGACCCCAGGAAGAUAGCUUCAACUAAAAUGGAAGGGGUUCCGCACUGUUUAGGGCCUGAAAUCCUUUCUGUCCUUCUAAACGAGCUCAAAGCUGUGAAAGCCUUUUCAGGAAAAUCUACCUUGGUUCACUUAUUUCACCAAUUUUAGCCUUUCCUUAGGGAUUUGGGCUCAGAGUGGAUCCUGGGCAGCUGUAGAUAUAAGGACGCUGCUCUUGACCGGUCACCAUCAGCACAACCAAUGCCGGG